CAGAGUCUCCCUGUGUCUCCCAGGCUGGAGUGCCGUGGUGUGAUCUUGGCUCACUGCAGCCACCACCUCUGGAGUUCAAGCGAUUCCUGCCUCAGCCUCCUGAGUAGCUGGGAUUAGAGGCGUGUACCACCAUACCCGGCUAAUUGUUUUUGUAUUUUUAGUAGAGAUGGGAUUUCGCCUUGUUGGCCAGGCUGGUUUCAAACUGCUGAACUCAAGUGAUCCACCUGCCUCAGCCUUCCAAAGUGCUGGGAUUAGAGAGGCAUGAGCCACCGCGCCCGGCCAGGUUCCCACAAAAUUGCCCUGUAACACUAGCAAGGGACUAAAGAUUUGCAUGUUCUAAACAUUCUUUCAUGCAUAUUUCUACUGUUGAUGUUAGCAACAAUAAUAAAAUCCCACAAAUUUGUAGACAGAAUCUAGUAUUAUGAAAGAUUACAGCCAAUAAUUAUAGUUCACCUGUUCCUAAAAGCUUAACUCCUGCGGUCCUCUCUUGGAAAUGUGUAUUCGAUGAAACUUCAGUAACAAGACCAUGAAUUAAAUUUGGAAGAGAAACUAUAUCUUUAAGAAGGUGUUGCUUUUCUGAAGUCAAUAAUGGCAGCUAAAUUAGACUAGAACCCUGGUGCCUUGAACACAAAUCCAGACUUAUUCCCAAUGUACCUCAUGCACAAAAUUCAAGCCUUCAAUUUGACAUUUAUUUUCUAUUGUGGAUAUUGAUUUCCUGAGGGGAAAAAUGAAAUGUGGUGUUGUGGUCCAGUGUGCUUUAUUGACCAAAU
rnacentral:lncRNA from 1 species